CGCGUAGGUGGCCCGUUAAGUGGCUGGUGAAAUCCCGCGGCUCAACUGCGGGGCUGCCGGUCAUACUGGCGAGCUAGAGCACGGUAGGGGCAGAUGGAAUUCCCGGUGUAGCGGUGGAAUGCGUAGAGAUCGGGAAGAAUACCAGUGGCGAAGGCGUUCUGCUGGGCCGUUGCUGACACUGAGGCGCGACAGCGUGGGGAGCAAACA
rnacentral:rRNA from 1 species